GAUGAACGCUGGCGGCGUGCCUAAUACAUGCAAGUCGAGCGAACAGACGAGGAGCUUGCUCCUCUGACGUUAGCGGCGGACGGGUGAGUAACACGUGGAUAACCUACCUAUAAGACUGGGAUAACUUCGGGAAACCGGAGCUAAUACCGGAUAAUAUAUUGAACCGCAUGGUUCAAUAGUGAAAGACGGUUUUGCUGUCACUUAUAGAUGGAUCCGCGCCGCAUUAGCUAGUUGGUAAGGUAACGGCUUACCAAGGCAACGAUGCGUAGCCGACCUGAGAGGGUGGCGGACCCCCGUGGAAGGAGAACAGCGCCAGGCCCCAGGGGGGAGGAGCAGGGAGGCGAUCUUCGGCAAGGGGCGAAACCCGGAGGGAACAGCGCGGGGUGAGUAAUAAGGUUUUUGGGAUCUAAAACCUUUUUAAUGGGGAAGAAAAAAUUGGGUAAGUAACAAGACACGUCUGGAGGUUACCUAAUAAAAAAGCCCGGGCUAGCUCCGUC
rnacentral:rRNA from 1 species